UGGAAGUAAAAAGUCGUAACAAGGUCUCCGUUGGUGAACCAGCGGAGGGAUCAUUACCGAGUUUACAACUCCCAAACCCCUGUGAACAUACCACUUGUUGCCUCGGCGGAUCAGCCCGCUCCCGGUAAAACGGGACGGCCCGCCAGAGGACCCCUAAACUCUGUUUCUAUAUGUAACUUCUGAGUAAAACCAUAAAUAAAUCAAAACUUUCAACAACGGAUCUCUUGGUUCUGGCAUCGAUGAAGAACGCAGCAAAAUGCGAUAAGUAAUGUGAAUUGCAGAAUUCAGUGAAUCAUCGAAUCUUUGAACGCACAUUGCGCCCGCCAGUAUUCUGGCGGGCAUGCCUGUUCGAGCGUCAUUUCAACCCUCAAGCACAGCUUGGUGUUGGGACUCGCGUUAAUUCGCGUUCCCCAAAUUGAUUGGCGGUCACGUCGAGCUUCCAUAGCGUAGUAGUAAAACCCUCGUUACUGGUAAUCGUCGCGGCCACGCCGUUAAACCCCAACUUCUGAAUGUUGAC
rnacentral:rRNA from 1 species